rnacentral:lncRNA from 1 species
UCAUCGUUAACAGAAUGGUGUUACAUGACCCUGUUAUGAUAUUAUAUUUUUAUGUAAUGUCAAUAAUACCCUUACAUUCUACUUAUAGUGGAGUGUUAGUCCCAUAGCGCCAAAAAUGUGGAAGCACGUGCCUCACGUGACCCAUGAUUUUGGAUGCCCUAGGCUAAAUCCAAAUGGGAGAAGACCCACAACCCAAAAAUCAAACUUUGUGGAGAGAAGAAAUUUUCAACCAAGCCAUGGCUAGAGAAGAACAUAUCUUCAAUCA